CGCGCAAAUUACCCAGUUCUAACAGUUUGAGAGAGGUAGUAACAAGAAAUAACAAUACAAGGCAGUUAAAAUGCUUUGUAAUUGGAAUGAUAGAAAUUUAAACCCUUUUUAAAGUAUCAAUUGGAGGGCAAGUCUGGUGCCAGCAGCCGCGGUAAUUCCAGCUCCAAUAGCGUAUAUUAAAAUUGUUGCAGUUAAAAAGCUCGUAAUUGAAGUUCUGCUGAAAGUAACCGGUCUGCUUUUAAUAAAAGUGGUAUCUUGGUAUGUAUUUAGCAAUGAUGUCCUUUGAAGUGUUUUUUACUUUAUUGUAAUAAAGCAUAUUCAGGACUUUUACUUUGAGAAAAUUAGAGUGUUUCUAGCAGGCUGACGCUUUGAAUACUGCAACAUGGAAUAAUAAGAUAGGAUUUUAGUUCUACAUUAUUGGUUUUAAGAGCUAAAUUAAUGAUUGAUAGGGACAGUUGGGGGCAUUUGUAUUUAACUGUCAGAGGUGAAAUUAAAAGAUUUGUUAAAGACAAACUACUGCGAAAGCAUUUGCCAAAGAUGUUUUCAUUAAUCAAGAACGAAAGUUAGGGGAUCGAAGACGAUCAGAUACCGUCGUAGUCUUAACUAUAAACUAUGCCAACUAGAGAUUGGAGGUCGUCUUUAUAAACGACUCCUUCAGCACCUUA
rnacentral:rRNA from 1 species